UGGUCUAUCUGGGUAGGGUGUUUGACUCGGAGCCAAAAGGUCCUGGGUUCGAACCCCAGUGUCC